ensembl:snRNA U1 U1 spliceosomal RNA
AUGCUUACUUGGCAGGGGAGACACCAUGAUCAUGAAGAUGGUUUUCGAGGGUGAGGAUUAUCCAUUGCACUCUGGAUGUGCUGACCCCUGUGAUUUGCCUAAAUGUGGGAAACUUGACCACAUAAUUUGUGGGAGUGGGGGACUGCUUUCAUGCUCUCCCAUG